rnacentral:rRNA from 1 species
CCUACGGGUGGCAGCAGUGGGGAAUAUUGCACAAUGGGGGAAACCCUGAUGCAGCGACGCCGCGUGAGUGAAGAAGUAAUUCGUUAUGGAAAGCUCUAUCAGCAGGGAAGAAAAUGACGGUACCUGAGCAAGAAGCCCCGGCUAACGACGUGCCAGCAGCCGCGGUAAUACGUAGGGUGCAAGCGUUAUCCGGAUUUACUGGGUGUAAAGGGAGCGUAGACGGCAGUGCAGGUCUGGAGUGAAAGGCGGGGGCUCAACCCCCGGACUGCUCUGGAAACUGUACGGCUGGAGUGCAGGAGAGGUAAGUGGAAUUCCUAGUGUAGCGGUGAAAUGCGUAGAUAUUAGGAGGAACACCAGUGGCGAAGGCGGCUUACUGGACUGUAACUGACGUUGAGGCUCGAAAGCGUGGGGAGCAAACAGGAUUAGAUACCCCGGUAGUC